AAGGAUUUAGCUUAAUUAAAGUGUCUGGUUUGCGUCCAGGAGAUGUGAGGUGUGGUCUCGCAAUCCUUA
rnacentral:tRNA from 1 species